GACAGAGGGUGCAAACGUUGUUCGGAAUUACUGGGCGUAAAGCGUGUGUAGGCGGUCCGCUAAGUCGGGUGUGAAAGCCCUGGGCUCAACCCAGGAAGUGCACUCGAAACUGGCGGGCUAGAGUAUCGGAGAGGUUGGUGGAAUUCUCGGUGUAGAGGUGAAAUGCGUAGAUAUGCGGAGGAACGCCGAUGGCGAAGGCAAUCCCCUGGACCUGUACUGACGCUCAUGCACGAAAGCGUGGGGAGCAAACAGG
rnacentral:rRNA from 1 species